GCGAGAGCCUGAACCAGCCAAGUCGCGUGAAGGAAGACUGCCUUAUGGGUUGUAAACUUCUUUUAUACAGGAAUAAAAAGGCUUACGUGUAGGCCAUUGCAAGUACUGUAUGAAUAAGCAUCGGCUAACUCCGUGCCAGCAGCCGCGGUAAUACGUAGGGGGCGAGCGUUGUCCGGAUUUACUGGGCGUAAAGGGUGCGUAGGCGGCCUUGUAAGUCAGAUGUGAAAGGCUACGGCUCAACCGUAGUAAGCAUUUGAAACUGCAGGGCUUGAGUGCAGGAGAGGAGAGUGGAAUUCCUAGUGUAGCGGUGAAAUGCGUAGAUAUUAGGAGGAACACCAGUGGCGAAGGCGACUCUCUGGACUGUAACUGACGCUGAGGCACGAAAGCGUGGGGAGCAAACA
rnacentral:rRNA from 2 species